AACGAACGCUGGCGGCAGGCUUAACACAUGCAAGUCGAACGCCCGUAGCAAUACGGGAGUGGCAGACGGGUGAGUAACACGUGGGAACAUGCCCAAAGGUACGGAAUAUUCUCGGGAAACUGGGAGCAAUACCGUAUGUGCCCGAAAGGGGAAAGAUUUAUCGCCUUUGGAUUGGCCCGCGUCGGAUUAGCUAGUUGGUGGGGUAAAAGCCUACCAAGGCGACGAUCCGUAGCUGGUCUGAGAGGACGACCAGCCACACUGGGACUGAGACACGGCCCAGACUCCUACGGGAGGCAGCAGUGGGGAAUCUUGGACAAUGGGCGCAAGCCUGAUCCAGCCAUGCCGCGUGGAUGAUGAAGGCCCUAGGGUUGUAAAAUCCUUUCGUUGGGGACGAUAAUGACGGUACCCAAAGAAGAAGCUCCGGCUAACUUCGUGCCAGCAGCCGCGGUAAUACGAAGGGGGCUAGCGUUGUUCGGAUUUACUGGGCGUAAAGCGCGUGUAGGCGGGUCGUUAAGUUGGAGGUGAAAUCCCGAGGCUCAACCUCGGAACUGCCUUCAAAACUGGCGACCUGGACUCAAGUAGAGGCAAGUGGAAUUGCGAGUGUAGAGGUGAAAUUCGUAGAUAUUCGCAGGAACACC
rnacentral:rRNA from 1 species